rnacentral:sRNA from 1 species
GGUAGCAAUGCCACUUUCAGGAUACUAGAGGUUGGUUGUGGAGCUGGAAAUAGUGUGUUUCCAAUUUUGAACACUUUGCAGGGAAGUCCACAGUAUGUUCUGCAAAGCCAGUUUAGAUGAAAAGCAAAAUCUGGUUGAUCGCCGCUUACAAGUUAAUAGGAAAAAACAAGUGAAAAUGCACCGAGUGUGGAUUCAAGGCAAAUUCCAGAAACCAUUGCACCAGACUCAGAAUAGCUCCGAUAUGGUAUCUACACUCCUUUCACAAGACUGAACUUUGUAACAUGUUAAGGUACAAAGCCAGAGGACUGUGCUAUUCAAGGACUACUGUAAGUCUAUCGUUUCUCAAAAGACAAUGAGAAAAAAGAAGAGAAUUUGUAUUUCCUGCCGUUUUGUCAUAGGUGAGCUCCUUUGUGCAUUUUAAGCACAUGUAAGUGGUUCGGCACA